UCGGGUUGUAAAGCACUUUUGUCCGGAAAGAAAACUUCUGCCCUAAUACGGUGGGAGGAUGACGGUACCGGAAGAAUAAGCACCGGCUAACUACGUGCCAGCAGCGCGGUAAUCGUAGGGUGCGAGCGUUAAUCGGAAUUACUGGGCGUAAAGCGUGCGCAGGCGGUUCGUUAAGACAGAUGUGAAAUCCCCGGGCUUAACCUGGGAACUGCAUUUGUGACUGGCGAGCUAGAGUAUGGCAGAGGGGGGUAGAAUUCCACGUGUAGCAGUGAAAUGCGUAGAGAUGUGGAGGAAUACCGAUGGCGAAGGCAGCCCCCUGGGCCAAUACUGACGCUCAUGCACGAAAGCGUGGGGAGCAAACAGGAUUAGAUACCCUGGUAGUCCACGCCCUAAACGAUGUCAACUAGUUGUUGGGUCUUCAUUGACUUAGUAACGUAGCUAACGCGUGAAGUUGACCGCCUGGGGAGUACGGUCGCAAGAUUAAAACUCAAAGGAAUUGACGGGGACCCGCACAAGCGGUGGAUGAUGUGGAUUAAUUCGAUGCAACGCGAAAAACCUUACCUACCCUUGACAUGGUCGGAACCUGGCUG
rnacentral:rRNA from 1 species